AAAUGCAUAGUCUAUCAAGGGUUAUGUCCACUAGAAUUUUAGCAGAGACUACAUGAUCCCCUGUCAGGCGGGCAUAGGAGGAAAUCUACCUCAAGAGGCUGAUUUACCAGAAAACAUCUGACGUUCAAUGGCUUUGUCGAAUGAGUUCCAUCGGGAACUCAUGAGGGCCGCUGCCUCUUCAUCUUUCUUGCAGCACCCGGUGUGUGUCCAGCUUCCAAGAAGGUUUGUCAAGUGAAUGAUUUAAUAAAGCUUCUGACCCUUGUGGAGAUGGUAUAUUUGAAGGCACAGAGCCCAGGUCUUCGUAUCAGUCCUGCAACCUUAGCUGGGUGUCCUUGAGAAAUAAUUUCUUCUGUCUGAGCCUCACCUCUCUGUGCAUAAUAUCAUAAAAUCUAAUUCUCCUGAAUGCUAGGCUGCAGUUAUGGAUAUGUUUUUGAAGGGAUAAAAUGGUUAUGAAUAAGAAAUACGGUUUAUUCUUUUGCUGUUUUAGACUUCUUAGGGUCAAGUAAAUUUCAUACGUGGAGGUUCUUAGAGACUUGCCUAAGGAACUCCAAGGGGUCGGGGUGGGGAAUGGGUUAAAAUAACAGUUGUCUGAGCAAGGGACACAAAACAGCUAGAGAGCCCGUCAACUAGACUUAUGCCCUGGACAGC
rnacentral:lncRNA from 1 species